rnacentral:rRNA from 1 species
GCCAGCAGCCAUAUCACUCUGCAACUCACAACUGGCAACCUACUGAAGCUCAGCAGGUGUGAGCCUGGUCAGUACCUGGAUAGGAGACCUCCUGGGAAAAACUAAGGUUGCUGCUGGAA